rnacentral:rRNA from 1 species
GUGAGGAAUAUUGCGCAAUGGAGGCAACUCUGACGCAGCCAUGCCGCGUGCAGGAAGAAGGCGCUACGCGUUGUAAACUGCUUUUAACCGGGAAGAAACCCCAGGACGUGUCCUGGGUUGACGGUACCGGAGGAAUAAGCACCGGCUAACUUCGUGCCAGCAGCCGCGGUAAUACGAAGGGUGCAAGCGUUAUCCGGAUUCAUUGGGUUUAAAGGGUGCGUAGGCGGAGCGUUAAGUCAGUGGUGAAAUCCUGCAGCUUAACUGUAGACUUGCCAGUGAUACUGGCGCUCUUGAGUGCGCUUGAAGGGGGCGGAAUGUGCCGUGUAGCGGUGAAAUGCUUAGAUAUGGCACAGAACACCAAUUGCGAAGGCAGCUCACUAAGGCGAUACUGACGCUGAGGCACGAAAGCGUGGGGAUCGAACAGGAUUAGAUACCCCUGUAGUCC